rnacentral:lncRNA from 1 species
AGUUAUGCAAAGGUCAACAUGAUCGCCGGUCGAUGAAGCGGCGUUCUCCAUAUGUGUGUAGUCGGUGGUCGCUGAAGUUAUGCAAAGGUCAACAUGAUCGCCGGUCGAUGAAGCGGCGAUCUCCAUGCGUGCGUAGUCGGUGGUCGCUGAAGUUGUGCAUCAUUGCCGUAUCCGAAGAACAGAAGAUCAGAUAACUGGAAAUCGCCGAGGUAGACACAUCGUCGGGUUCUCCAGAAAGCUUAUUUGAAGCUGUUGGAGAUUUAGGUGAGUAAGUCCAUAUGUGUUGGUUCAAUAAAGAUGUCUGUUAAACCUCAACAUGAGCA